rnacentral:rRNA from 1 species
GAGUUUGAUCGUGGCUCAGAUUGAACGCUGGCGGCAGGCCUAACACAUGCAAGUCGAGCGGAUGAAGGGAGCUUGCUCCUGGAUUCAGCGGCGGACGGGUGAGUAAUGCCUAGGAAUCUGCCUGGUAGUGGGGAUAACGUCCGGAAACGGGCGCUAAUACCGCAUACGUCCUGAGGGAGAAAGUGGGGGAUCUUCGGACCUCACGCUAUCAGAUGAGCCUAGGUCGGAUUAGCUAGUUGGUGGGGUAAAGGCCUACCAAGGCGACGAUCCGUAACUGGUCUGAGAGGAUGAUCAGUCACACUGGAACUGAGACACGGUCCAGACUCCUACGGGAGGCAGCAGUGGGGAAUAUUGGACAAUGGGCGAAAGCCUGAUCCAGCCAUGCCGCGUGUGUGAAGAAGGUCUUCGGAUUGUAAAGCACUUUUAAGUUGGGAGGAAGGGCGAGUAAGUUAAUAACCUUGCUGUUUUGACGUUACCAACAGAAUAAAGCACCGGCUAACUUCGUGCCAGCCGCCGCCGUAAC